UCUGGAGUUUGUUGGCUGUGCUGUGAAGAAGAAGGAGUUAGUGCUAUGAGGAGCUGCCUAUGAGCAAUCACUGAGAAGGUGUGACUCCUAAAGACAAGAUUCAGGGAUGAUGAACAUUGGGAUGUUUUGCCUGAAGAAGUAACCACAGCACCAGAGAAAAGUCUCACUAGAAAAGAUUGAAGAGGAAAGUGUAAACUGCUUGGAGCUGAGUGAAGUGGAGCGUGGUCAGAGGAGAAGAGUUCCUUUGCUGUUUCAAGCCAGAACUGUGAGUGUUUUGACAGUUAUUCAUUGGAUGAAGGCAGAGGGAAUUAAAUGUUAUGUUCUAAAUCCAGGACAUCUUUGUUGCAGUUUGCUAGGAUUAUUUUGACUUUUGGCAAUCCUCAAGGUGAAUGUUCAAAAUUGUUUCGUUUAAUGAUUUUAAGUAUUACUUAACAGAAAUCUGCCUACUAUAGUAAAAUUCUUCAUCACAGUUAAAAGGAUGGUAUGAAAAGUUUCACAAUGCAACAGAAGGACUAUUGCCUUUGCAUCAAUAAAGCAGAGCAAGUAUAAAAUAAAUGCUGUAACAUGAGCAUGUAAAGGACAUGGUGGUGACUAAGUAGAAUUUUUCCUUUUUAGAAAAGGAAAAAGUAAGAUGAAUGAAAAAUAAAGGUUAACUUAGGCCCACAUAACCACGUGGAUAUAUUUUUAAUACUCAUUUUGAAUAUGGGGAUCUCAAGGCAGUUGUUUCAUGGACAUUUUUGUGUACUGAUUUUAAUAUUCAUCCAGCCAUGCACUGCCCUGCAGGGGAGAACCCUGAUCUAAGCCUGGAGUUGUUACUUUUGACUUCAUUCUUUCAGUCAGUGCUGGAGAAGAUAAAAGCUCUCUCUUUCUCUGUCUCCCCCAACCCCUUCCCUCCAUUAACUUGAUAAUGCAUUGAGUAACAGUUGGCAGCUUUGUGAGUUGUUUUGAAAGCUAAAAAAACCCCAUUUUGUACCUUAGAGACUAAAUGCUGCUUGUGAAAUAAGUGAUGCUGUAUGCUUUGUCAGUUUAUUGGCCGCUUUCUCACAUGCUCUUUUGGAAAAUCCCUGCAGUCCUCAUGCACUUCUUCCCACCAUUCCCUUCCCCUACUUGCACACUACAGAAGAUACCUCCAGUUUUUCUAUUGUCAUGUUGCUUGAAAAGCUUUUGUCUUUUAGCAUCCAAAUGCUGUUCCCAGGGGACCUUCUAGAAAUUGUUCACCCUGACUCAUGUGAAACUGAGCUAAAUCUCUUCCGAUCAAAAGAGUUUAAAACUGUUUUUCUGAGAAAAUGAUGUCUGACACUGUAAUUUCCAUUUGAAAACAGCUAACAUCUGUGGAAAGUGCAUAACCAAUGCCUGAGGAAUUUCU